rnacentral:rRNA from 1 species
GGUUAAGCGAACAAGCGUACACGGUGGAUGCCCUGGCAGUCAGAGGCGAUGAAGGACGUGCUAAUCUGCGAAAAGCGCCGGUAAGGUGAUAUGAACCGUUAUAACCGGCGAUGUCCGAAUGGGGAAACCCGGUGCACUUCGGUGCAUCAUCGUUAGCUGAAUACAUAGGCUAACGAGGCGAACCGGGGGAACUGAAACAUCUAAGUACCCCGAGGAAAAGAAAUCAACCGAGAUUCCCCCAGUAGCGGCGAGCGAACGGGGAACAGCCCAGAGCCUGAAUCAGCUUGUGUGUCAGUGGAACGGUCUGGAAAGGCCGGCGAUACAGGGUGACAGCCCCGUACACGAAGGCACACAGGCUGUGAGCUCGAUGAGUAGGGCGGGACACGUGAUAUCCUGUCUGAAGAUGGGGGGACCAUCCUCCAAGGCUAAAUACUCCUGACUGACCGAUAGUGAACCAGUACCGUGAGGGAAAGG